rnacentral:rRNA from 1 species
GGGUUGUGAGGUUAAGCGACUAAGCGUACACGGUGGAUGCCCUGGCAGUCAGAGGCGAUGAAGGGCGUGCUAAUCUGCGAUAAGCGCCGGUAAGGUGAUAUGAACCGUUAUAACCGGCGAUACCCGAAUGGGGAAACCCAGUGUGACUCGUCACACUAUCAUUAACUGAAUCCAUAGGUUAAUGAGGCGAACCGGGGGAACUGAAACAUCUAAGUACCCCGAGGAAAAGAAAUCAACCGAGAUUCCCCCAGUAGCGGCGAGCGAACGGGGAGGAGCCCAGAGCCUGAAUCAGCAUGUGUGUUAGUGGAAGCGUCUGGAAAGGCGCGCGAUACAGGGUGACAGCCCCGUACACAAAAGCGCAUGUGCUGUGAGCUCGAUGAGUAGGGCGGGACACGUGGUAUCCUGUCUGAAUAUGGGGGGACCAUCCUCCAAGGCUAAAUACUCCUGACUGACCGAUAGUGAACCAGUACCGUGAGGGAAAGGCGAAAAGAACCCCGGCGAGGGGAGUGAAAAAGAACCUGAAACCGUGUACGUACAAGCAGUGGGAGCACCCUUUGGGGUGUGACUGCGUACCUUUUGUAUAAUGGGUCAGCGACUUAUAUUCUGUAGCAAGGUUAACCGUAUAGGGGAGCCGUAGGGAAACCGAGUCUUAACCGGGCGUUAAGUUGCAGGGUAUAGACCCGAAACCCGGUGAUCUAGCCAUGGGCAGGUUGAAGGUUGGGUAACACUAACUGGAGGACCGAACCGACUAAUGUUGAAAAAUUAGCGGAUGACCUGUGGCUGGGGGUGAAAGGCCAAUCAAACCGGGAGAUAGCUGGUUCUCCCCGAAAGCUAUUUAGGUAGCGCCUCGUGAAUUCAUCUCCGGGGGUAGAGCACUGUUUCGGCUAGGGGGCCAUCCCGGCUUACCAACCCGAUGCAAACUGCGAAUACCGGAGAAUGUUAUCACGGGAGACACACGGCGGGUGCUAACGUCCGUCGUGAAGAGGGAAACAACCCAGACCGCCAGCUAAGGUCCCAAAGUCAUGGUUAAGUGGGAAACGAUGUGGGAAGGCCCAGACAGCCAGGAUGUUGGCUUAGAAGCAGCCAUCAUUUAAAGAAAGCGUAAUAGCUCACUGGUCGAGUCGGCCUGCGCGGAAGAUGUAACGGGGCUAAACCAUGCACCGAAGCUGCGGCAGCGAACGUAUCACUUAAAGCGAUUCAGCGGGUUACGAUUGACGGAGCGAAGCGACGUCAAAGCGUAUACAAAGUCGAGUCGGUUUAAGGAUACGUUCGUUGGGUAGGGGAGCGUUCUGUAAGCCUGCGAAGGUGGCCUGUGAGGGUUGCUGGAGGUAUCAGAAGUGCGAAUGCUGACAUAAGUAACGAUAAAGCGGGUGAAAAGCCCGCUCGCCGGAAGACCAAGGGUUCCUGUCCAACGUUAAUCGGGGCAGGGUGAGUCGACCCCUAAGGCGAGGCCGAAAGGCGUAGUCGAUGGGAAACGGGUUAAUAUUCCCGUACUUGGUGUUACUGCGAAGGGGGGACGGAGAAGGCUAUGUUGGCCGGGCGACGGUUGUCCCGGUUUAAGCGUGUAGGUGUGUGUUCCAGGUAAAUCCGGUUCACUUUAACACUGAGGCGUGAUGACGAGGCACUACGGUGCUGAAGCAACAAAUGCCCUGCUUCCAGGAAAAGCCUCUAAGCAUCAGGUAACAUCAAAUCGUACCCCAAACCGACACAGGUGGUCAGGUAGAGAAUACCAAGGCGCUUGAGAGAACUCGGGUGAAGGAACUAGGCAAAAUGGUGCCGUAACUUCGGGAGAAGGCACGCUGACACGUAGGUGAAGUGAUUUACUCAUGGAGCUGAAGUCAGUCGAAGAUACCAGCUGGCUGCAACUGUUUAUUAAAAACACAGCACUGUGCAAACACGAAAGUGGACGUAUACGGUGUGACGCCUGCCCGGUGCCGGAAGGUUAAUUGAUGGGGUCAGCGCAAGCGAAGCUCCUGAUCGAAGCCCCGGUAAACGGCGGCCGUAACUAUAACGGUCCUAAGGUAGCGAAAUUCCUUGUCGGGUAAGUUCCGACCUGCACGAAUGGCGUAAUGAUGGCCAGGCUGUCUCCACCCGAGACUCAGUGAAAUUGAACUCGCUGUGAAGAUGCAGUGUACCCGCGGCAAGACGGAAAGACCCCGUGAACCUUUACUAUAGCUUGACACUGAACAUUGAGCCUUGAUGUGUAGGAUAGGUGGGAGGCUUUGAAGCGUGGACGCCAGUCUGCGUGGAGCCGACCUUGAAAUACCACCCUUUAAUGUUUGAUGUUCUAACGUGGACCCGUAAUCCGGGUUGCGGACAGUGUCUGGUGGGUAGUUUGACUGGGGCGGUCUCCUCCUAAAGAGUAACGGAGGAGCACGAAGGUUGGCUAAUCCUGGUCGGACAUCAGGAGGUUAGUGCAAUGGCAUAAGCCAGCUUGACUGCGAGCGUGACGGCGCGAGCAGGUGCGAAAGCAGGUCAUAGUGAUCCGGUGGUUCUGAAUGGAAGGGCCAUCGCUCAACGGAUAAAAGGUACUCCGGGGAUAACAGGCUGAUACCGCCCAAGAGUUCAUAUCGACGGCGGUGUUUGGCACCUCGAUGUCGGCUCAUCACAUCCUGGGGCUGAAGUAGGUCCCAAGGGUAUGGCUGUUCGCCAUUUAAAGUGGUACGCGAGCUGGGUUUAGAACGUCGUGAGACAGUUCGGUCCCUAUCUGCCGUGGGCGCUGGAGAACUGAGGGGGGCUGCUCCUAGUACGAGAGGACCGGAGUGGACGCAUCACUGGUGUUCGGGUUGUCAUGCCAAUGGCACUGCCCGGUAGCUAAAUGCGGAAGAGAUAAGUGCUGAAAGCAUCUAAGCACGAAACUUGCCCCGAGAUGAGUUCUCCCUGAGACUUAGAGUCUCCUGAAGGAACGUUGAAGACGACGACGUUGAUAGGCCGGGUGUGUAAGCGCAGCGAUGCGUUGAGCUAACCGGUACUAAUGAACCGUGAGGCUUAACCUUACAACGCCGAAG